rnacentral:misc_RNA from 1 species
GGCACAUGGGAAUAUAGUCAUUGUAGACCUAAAUAACAAGAUCCAAAGAAAUCAGUGUUUACAAGGACUAACAUCUGUGGGAAAAAUAAACAUCAUGAUAUGUUCAAAAAAUAACAUGUAUUUAAAGAGAAAAAACCACACAAAAGAACACCCGCCGCUAAUAGCAAAAUUUUCUACAGGAACUGAUUGCUGGAAUUAGUUGCACACGGCCAAACUAGACAUGGGAAAAGGAGGAUAGGAAAAUAUGAUGUGGAGGGAACAAAAUAACACCAAAUACAAAAUGGAUGAUUACACUAUGUACAAACAAUUGCACUAUGCUAAUGCCAACACCACAACCACCAAGACCAGAAUUUCUGAGGAAAUUUUGUUUCAACCGGUAAUUUCAGCCAAAUGGAGAGGGAACAGGAACCACAAGUGCAUCCGAUCUUUUAAUGCUACCCAUACCACAAAUAAUACAGCCAGGUGAUGACAGAGCAGAGAACUUGGCUCCACAUAGAUCGCACACAUCAUAACCAAUGGUUGAUAGACGGCUAAGCGUAGCAGCACAGAACUGGGAUGGAUCUUCUUGUGGAUCAAUUGACUUGUUGGACAAUCCCCUUUGAACACAUAUGUCAACUAAGCUCCUCAAUUCGUCUUGCUUGCCUGGAGGCGCCUUAGAUAAUAGAAGUUCAAGCAUCUGCUUGGAAUAGCCAUAAUUUUGUACGUCCAUGUUCCUCUUGAUAGCAGUUCGAAUACAAUUUAUCCUGUGCUUAGCGAGAAGAGGCAGUGAACCCAAGUGUCGAGACAAUCGUGCCAUUUCAUCCUUUGCACUGAUUGCACUUGGCCCCUGAACUCUUUGCAGUCGGCUGAUUUCCUGAAGCAGAGUGACUGCAAUUUUGUAUUGUGCACAUAUUGUAGCUUGAGCUUUUAUGUCAGCUCCACGAGAUUGAUCCUUAGCCAAUGCCAAGAAAGCUUCAUCAAAACAGGAUAAUGCAUCUGGCAGCUGAUUUUGCUCAAGAUGGGCAAGACCAGUCUUGAAGCAAAGUGGAGCAACAGCCCCACGAGGAACUUGUCCAGGACGCACAGCUUUUGGAGGAGAAGAUGGGCGUGCAGAAGGUUGUCCUGAACCUGGAGCUUCAAGAGAACUGAGAUCAAGAGGUUGGUUGGACACGGGAGGGUUUGACAUCUGAACAUGAGGUUGCAGACCAGAAGGUUGAGCGAACUGCUGCGGAGGAACACCACCAUCAGGAAGACCUACCACAUCAAGUGAAACAGGUCGUUGAGUAGCUUGAGGGGGGACACCACCAUCAGGUAGACCAACAUCAACUGCAGAUGCACCACCCUGGCUAGGUUGCAUUUUAGUGGCUUCAGCACCUUGAGAAUUUUGAUCCAGCUUAGAAAGGUAAGUCCCAGGAGGAGGUAAUGAUGCCGCAACAUGGACGGAUGAUAUAGUAUUCUGGAAGAAGUCCUCCGGAAUGGGCCCUGCAGCAACUCCAGCACCCACUGCCUUAGGAGCAAGAUUCGGCAUAGAUGCAGAUUGUGUCAAUGAAUUUGUUCCAAAAGGAUCAGCAGAUGUUGAAACCACUGGAGCUGUGACUGACCCAUUGGUUGCAGAAGAAGGUGGAGGUACAAGUAGGCUAAGUUCUGGGGAUGAACUAGUUAAUGAUUUUGUUCUACUAAUCGGCAGGCCCAGCUGUUUUGUGGCUUCUUUUAUCUUGUUCACAUCCACUGUAGCAGAUGUCACAGGUUUGUCUCGAAUUCUUAUGUGUAAUUUUUUUGUUUUUGAUGUUUCUUCUUCAUCACUGCUGGUACCGUCAGCAGCAGACCCAUACAGUGAUUUCUUGAAUUCUUCUUCUGCUUUUGUUUGCUCAUCUACCACACCAGAACUGGCAACUAUCUUGCCAAGGCUUUCUAGUCCCAUUAACAUUUCACCCUCAGGCAACCCUUUAACCUGGUUAGCUGCCGAUGCAGCUAAAGAUUUUUGAGGCUCAUUUGCCUUGUCUUUAGCAUUUUCAGCUUUGAAUGCCUUCACCAAACUAUCUUCUCUCACUUCCACGAUGUUACCUCUUCCUUUUAUCAAACCUAGGUAAACACCUAUGUGAUCCGUGACAAUUGAUGGAAUUGUGCCAUCAUCGGUUCUCAUGUACGGCAUCACCUCAGCAGCAAGCUCCCACUGAGGAAUGCUCUUCAGAUUGGUUGGUGUCUUGAUUUCCCAAUUACCACCACCCCAUUCUGAUCCUUUAGGUACCAUACUUUCAGCUGCAAAAUUUGCAAAGAUACCUUGUGUCCACCCAGUUGAGCGCACCCGAAGGAUCCUUUCACAAUACCGUCGUAAUUCUGAGUCAGCACUUUCAUCUUCUAGUUUCUGUGCUAGUCGCCGCAUAGCACUUGGGUUAAGGUGGCAUAUAAAUAGGUCAAGCAAGCUUUCAUAGUCUGAUAUGACUUCAAAAGUUUCUUUAGCAUUGUCAAACUGAGCAUAUUUUAUACAAGCAUAUCCCAACUGGCGGAAGCGCUGGAACAAAUGUGAAGUUGGGGGGCAUCUUGGAUAAUCUCUUGAACGCAAAAAUUCGUCCUUUAAGACAGACAGUGCAGUAGAAAAUCGGAGCGCCUUGAUUGCAUAUGUACCUCUCAAUACCUGAGUGAAUUGUGGGCCUGACUGGGAUAAUGAAACAGCAAGAUCACCACAAACUGGUGGACCUCUAGCAAGUAUGUCAAGAGAUCUAGGAGUUAUUCGUAGACUGUCAAACCUUGAGGUUAUCUGAUAUAGGAUCUCUGAGAGGUCAAGCUUCUGUUCAAAAUGUUGUUGCAUUGUUGAAAACCCAACAAGGAGAGGUUCAAGAAGUCCAACAAGGCAGUUUUUGAUUUCAACCCCUUUCUUUUGCCUAGGAUUUAUAUCUGUAGGGUUAGCAAGCAGCAGCCGAUCAUUCAAAGCUCCAAGCAGUACUGCAUUAGGCAUGCUAAUUGAAAGUAUAGUCCUCACUUUGCCAUCCCAUCCAAGCACACUAACAGCAGUGGCAGUUGAAAAAAGAAGUGCAGGCCCAAGCCAUAGAAUAGAUCUAUAUGAAGGAAGUCCUUUGUCAAACUUAGUAGAACUGCAUGCCAGUAUAUCUAGAUCUGCGGAAACAAUAAGCACCCUAUGUGUGGUCAAUACACCAGCAACGUAGCCCCUGAGAGUUUCUUGCCAUUGCACCUGGAGGACAAUCUCAUUUACUUUCAAUUUGAUAAAUUUUCUUCCUUCUGCUUUAGUUGAUAUGUAAUGGCCAUCAGCAUUUGAAAGGCGGUAAUUUUGAACCAGUUU